GAUCCUGGCUCAGGAUGAACGCUGGCGGCGUGCUUAACACAUGCAAGUCGAACGGACUCAUAUUGAAACCUAGUGAUUUAUGAGUUAGUGGCGGACGGGUGAGUAACGCGUGGAAAACCUGCCGUAUACUGGGGGAUAACACUUAGAAAUAGGUGCUAAUACCGCAUAAGCGCACAGCUUCGCAUGAAGUGGUGUGAAAAACUCUGGUGGUAUACGAUGGUUCCGCGUCUGAUUAGCUUGUUGGCGGGGUAAUGGCUCACCAAGGCGACGAUCAGUAGCCGGCCUGAGAGGGUGAACGGCCACAUUGGGACUGAGACACGGCCCAAACUCCUACGGGAGGCAGCAGUGGGGAAUAUUGCACAAUGGGGGAAACCCUGAUGCAGCGACGCCGCGUGAGUGAAGAAGUAUUUCGGUAUGUAAAGCUCUAUCAGCAGGGAAGAAAAUGACGGUACCUGAUUAAGAAGCCCCGGCUAACUACGUGCCAGCAGCCGCGGUAAUACGUAGGGGGCA
rnacentral:rRNA from 1 species